rnacentral:rRNA from 1 species
UGGGGGUUAUUGCACAAUGGGCGAAAGCCUGAUGCAGCGACGCCGCGUGGGGGAUGAAGGCUUUCGGGUUGUAAACCUCUUUCGCUAUCGAACAAGGCCCGCUUAGGGUGGGUUGAGGGUAGGUGGAGAAGAAGCGCCGGCUAACUACGUGCCAGCAGCCGCGGUCAUACGUAGGGCGCGAGCGUUGUCCGGAAUUAUUUGGCGUAAAGGGCUGGUAGGCGGCUUGUUGCGCCUGCUGUGAAAACGCGGGGCUUAACUUCGCGCGUGCAGUGGGUACGGGCAGGCUUGAGUGUGGUAGGGGUGACUGGAGUUCCAGGUGUAGCGGUGGAAUGCGCAGCUAUCUGGAGGAACACCGAUGGCGAAGGCAGGGCACUGGGCCAUUACUGACGCUGCGGAGCGAAAGCAUGGGUAGCGAAGAGG